UACGUAGGUGACAAGCGUUGUCCGAAGUUACUGGGCGUAAAGAGCGCGUAGGCGGGUCUUUAAGUGAGGGGUGAAAGGUUCGGGCUCAACCCGGACACUGCCUUUCAUACUGGGGACCUUGAGUGCGGGAGGGGCGAGUGGAAUGGUCGGUGUAGCGGUGAAAUGCGUAGAUAUCGAUCGGAACACCCAUGGCGAAGGCAGCUCGCUGGCCUGCAACUGACGCUGAGGCGCGAAAGCGUGGGGAGCAAACAGG
rnacentral:rRNA from 1 species